AAAAAAAUUUAUAGAUAAAAAAUUUAUUUAAUUUCUUUUUUUUAGCUCAUGUAGCACUAAUGAAGGAAUUAGGAAAUAUGAAAAUAAAAAAGUUUUUUAGCCUAGUGGAGAAGACGUUUGUGAAAAAGACCACUUUUGUCUUGAAGGGGAAGAGAGUGACACAAUUGAUGAAGGGAACGAUGCAAACAAGUCAGAUGAAAAUGUCAAGAUAUUGCCUGAUGAAGAGAUAGAAGAAUACAGCUUUUGACCACAUAUUUAUAUAAUGAAAAUAUUUAUUAAAUUUUUUAUAUCUUA